UCUUAAACAAUUUGAACCUGAACCCAAUUUCAUCAUAGCCCAGUAUUUGAGUUAUAAUUCUAUAAUUGACAUCACAACUCAACCACAAUUAAACAAACCUGGGCACACUCCACCCCUUAGCAAAGGUCGAAGUGUGAGUAAUAAGGGCGUGCGCAAGAUCCAAAAGGUUGUCAGGAAGUAGCCCGUGUUCAACAGAAAGUUCCCAUCACGAUCUCCAUUUUUUGUUUGGGGUUAAGCCCAAACCCAAUCCCGACUGCAUUAUCGAAAGAAACGAAAAACAGAAAAGCAAACAUGCAAAUACACAGAUUUAUAGUAGUUCACUAAACUCUGCAUUGCCUUGGUGCUGCAGAUUUUUGUCACUUAUUAUGAAGGAAAUGACAAGGUUUUUCCUUGCACGCCUCUCUUUUGUCACACACAAGUGACAGACAAAUGAUCCCCUCAGUAGAAAACUAGGGAUUCCUAAUACAAAAGUAUGAAUGCCCAAUAUAAUAGAUCUAGCAGAUAGGUGAAAAGUGUAAGAAGGCUCCACAAAGUCUAACAUUCCGAAAAGAUACCGAGGAAAAGGGGAUUUAUCUAAGAUUUAAUGUUGCUUUGUGAUAUGCCCACCAGAUGCUUGUUGAAAUUUCCAAUCGGUAGAAGCCUUUUUUCUUGACAAGUGAGAAAGAUGGGUUUAAGAAUUUAUUGCACUCAGGAAGUUUAACGAUUUCAUUACUUGAUGUCUUUAGAAGAACCUUGCAAAGUGGCAGACCACUAGGCUACUAUUGUUCCAUCGUUAUAUCUUUCAAUAUGGUUCUCUAAUUUAGGUGCAUCGGUCUAAUCUAUUCUUCAUUUACCUUGUCAUCUUUUUUCUUCUUGAUUGUUGGGUAUCAUUUUUUAACUUAUUUAUUUUGUGGGUUGGAUUCUGGUUUACAAUUGUGGAUCUAAACUGAUUAUAGAAUCUGAUUAUUACAAAGAUUUUGAUUUAAGUGAUGUAUUUGAGACCGGUGCCAGUACUUAAACACAUGUUCCAACAAAGUAAAAUUUGCUUCAGGGUAGGGAUAGAUAUACAAGUUAUUUUUUUUAUUAUCAAGUACCAAUGAACCAAGAUAUACAUUCCUAGACACCCCUAAGACAGGCAGUUCCUAAGAAUAUUUUUGUUGCAUUCUUUUUAUGCUGCAUUUUGAAGCUUUCAUAGGCAUUGUUUUCAAUGGUUAUCAGAAUUACAACUUCAAGAGAAACAUUUACAUUAUGUUCUGUAAUUCAAGUUGAAAAAGGAGUUGAAUUGUUGAUUGUCUUUUGCAAUCUCAUCAUUCAUCUUCAUAUUUUUUGGCUUGGUAUUCUCAGUCUCUCACUGUUAAACUUUUUGAUUGAACAAGUUUUAUCUUAACUACUCAUUUUCCCAUUUUUGUUUACCUGCGAAGGAUUUUUAAAUCUUGAUUCUAUUUGUUGUGAAAAGAGAAAUAUUCUUUGAUUGAUUUUCUCGUUUGUGCUAAGGCUAAUUUAAUACAUUAAUUUGUCUCUAUUUUGUCAAGAAUGAAAUAUCUUAAAAACUUAUCCAUAUACAUGAAUCUUGGACCAAUAUAAUAAAUAUCUGUCUCUAUUGACUGAGGGAAACUUCUCUUGAUUGAUGAUAAAUCGAUAUGGAUUCUUUUGAUUGUAGAAAUGCUAUGUGAGGCCAAGUAAUCUCAUUGAACUUUCUUACUGUACAGUAUUAUUAUCAGUUUGAUUUGAUUUUGGUUUGUGUGUGUGUGUGUGUGUGUGUGUUUGUUUUUAUCUUCUCAUUAUUUUAUUGAUGAACAAAAGAAGGCAAAAUCUACAGAAUCAAAAGGGAAGAAGGAAACGAAAGCAAAAAAUAUAUGAAUACACCUAAACGUCCUCUAACUUCCUUCUUCCUUUUCGCGUGCAAUUUCUUUUCCUUUUAUUUCUAUAUUGCACAACUUGAGGAAUUUGUUUAAUAUUAUGUUUGAUGUAAAUUAUUACAGGGAUGAUUUUAGGAAAGAGUACAAGGAGAAUAAUUCUGAAUGCAAAAGUGUAAGAGACGUGAAAUUCUUGAAGGUUUUCUACUAUGCAUUUCAAUUCUAGGUUUCUAUCAUAACAUGUUUAGUUUCUUGAAUAUUAGGUAGCGAAGGAUGGUGGUGAGAAAUGGAAAUCCAUGACUACUGAAGUGAUUUUUUUUUUUUUUUUUUUUUUUUUUUUGGAUCACCAAGAAAAACAAUUCUAUGAAGAUAGGUCGUAGAACUUAAAGCAAAAUAUGUAAAGGCCAUGAAGGCAACUCUACAUUUACUUGUUUUUAUGUUGAGAACACCAGUUACUGAACUGAGUAUAAUGUUAUUUAUAAUUGCUUUGUUUUACUUUCAAA
rnacentral:lncRNA from 1 species